AUCCUUUUCUACUAGCUGCCAAUUUCUCUGGAUCAUUCCUUCUGGGGGAAGCCAGCUACCAUGUUGUGAGCGGCUCUAUGGAAAGGCCCACGUAGGAUGGAGCCAAGGCCUUCUGCCAGCAGCCACGUAAAGGAGCUCAGAAGCAGAUCCCCCAGCCCAUCAAGGCCUCAGACACUGCAGUCCCAUGAGUCCCCAAGUCAGAGCUUACCACUGAGCUGCUCCUGGAUUCUUAUCUUUAGAAACUGAGGUAGUAACUAAGUGUUUGUUGCUUUAGCUGCUAAGUUUUGGGGCAAUCUGUUACAUAGAAAUAAAUUAACAGCUUAGGCCAGGUAAUAGUAAGCAGAAGCGGUUGAGUUACUAGUAGUUGGACCCGCCUACAUUUUGAAGAAAUUGGACAGCUCAAGUUUGAGAUGCUGAUUAAGACAUCCAAGUGGAUAAUUCAGGAGGCAGAGUAGUCAAGUUCUGAGAGCAUUCAGCAUUUGGACGGUAUUUAAAGCCAGGAUUCUGCUUAAAAUCCAAAGAAAGAGCAGAGCUAGAGAGGAAGUAGCCCAGCUACUGAGCCCUGGGACCACACAACUAGGAAGAGAAGGGGCACAUGGUAAGGAAGACCGGAGCCCAGUCAGGUGUUCCAAGAGUCCCGUGAGGGGCUUCAGGAAGAAGGCUGGGGUGGUGGGGAGGAGAGGUAGUGGGGAAGGAGUGUUCCCCUGGCCACUUGUAUGGUGAGAUGGAGGAGACAAGGAGGCAUGCUACUUAGUGGUAGGAUGGACAGCAGCGGAAUGGCCAGGACACAGCUGACCAAAUUGGAAGGAGGAAGAAAACACAAGCACCAUAUUGGUCUCUUUGGGGCCCUGUGCUUCAGGAGGGUAUGUGUGCCCAGGAAGGACAUGAGAUUGAAGGGGGACUUUUAUAUUUAGGGCAGCUAUUAGCACAGUUGUAAGUUGGUAGGACAAUUCAGAACAGAGUGGGAGACACCCACAGAGAUAUCAUGAAUGCCUCCAAGGUUCUGACCUGCACUUGAAGCUCCAACAUCGGAGUUCCUGAGGAGGGUGAGGCCCUCCCUGGAUUGGGAGGGGAAGCUGGCACGUAAGUGUCAAAGCCCUGACAGCUGUCAGCUUAGAGCCACAGAUAGUGUUUCUGGCUGGGCAACACUGUCCCCAGGGCAGAGGGACACCACGAGGGACCAGGGCACCACAGAUGCUCUGGGCAAAUCCAAGAGAUGUUUAAUGUAAAACCCGACCCACUAGAAGGCAAAAAAAAUCACCUUGGCCUCUCAGACUUGGUUUCAUAGUGGACUUUACUGGGAAAAGUUAGUGUAAAAAACAUUUAAAUUCAUAAAAUUUAAAUAAGACAGCAAAAUUAUACCUUUUAGCUAUAGUAAUCGCUAUAGUAAUCACAAAUAAGGUAAAGUCUAAAUUAUUGCCUAAGCAAACACUAUUUUUUGUCAGGCUUCUGUUGCAAAGCCCAAGGUAGGAAACACUGCAAUUAUUAGAAGUGAGCCCAAUGAUAAAUUUGCAUUUGAAGCUGAGGAACGGGAAAAAAAGCAUGUUCUGAUUGGGGCAUCACAACAUUCUAGUCUGAAAAAAGCAACUUUAUUAAUGUCCUGCAGCAGAGUACAUUAGUAAUUGUAACCAGGCAUUAAAAUUCUCAUUUCAUGUCAUAAAGAGAAUAAUCAGUUUUCUUCAUGAUGCAUUAUGUUCUAUUGAGCUUCGUGUGGUCUGUCCCCCCAAAACCUUUCUGGGAAUGCUCCUUCUCCAGGCACAGCUUCCUAAGAUGCCCCAGGUAGCUUACUUGGGAACAUCUUUGGUCAUGUGACACCAGCCAAACCCCCAGAACCCAGCACUGGUGGAAGCCACCUCCCUAGCCAAGGCAGAUUCUGAUCCCCGUAUCUCAACCCCUAAUGACACACUGAGAACUCGGUCAAGAGUAUCACUAACAAGUUAAUGUGGGUUUCUCUUUGGUUAUGGAAUUAUUUUUAUUUCAACUUAUAAAAAAUAUAGCUAGAAAUGUGCUCCUGAAUUCCAAAAGUAUUUCUGACCAAUUUAAACACAAGUAUGUCCUUGCCAAAUUCACCACCUGGACAGGUUUAAAAUCUGCCUAUUUCCCUGUGGAAUCUAAUAUCAGUGUUCUAUUUAGCAGAUAUAUUUGAGUGAAGAGCAGUGACUGAUCUUUAGAAGCCCCAAGGGGUGGGGGCAGCUGGCAAGGUGGCCCUAGAUGCUGUCCAUGGCUUUGAACUCGCUUAGGGCCUGCACAGGGUUCACGUGCUUCUUCUGAGAUGCCCGUUUAAUCUUGGUCUGUGUUUCAUCCUGCUUCUCUCUCUUCACUAAGGGCUUUUUCUCAGGUGCCUUCAUCUUCCACGACACAGCCGGGAGGUUGAGGGAAGCCAUACCCUGAGACUUCUGAUAUUUGGUAGAGGCCACGUAGGAUGCCUUCACUGUCUGCACCACCGCAUUCAUCAAGUUCUUGGCGGCCUGGAUCAGGGACAUGGCACUGUCCACCUGAGAGGCACAGACAGGGUGGUCCAUUUCUUCUCA